rnacentral:rRNA from 1 species
AUUGAACGCUGGCGGCAGGCUUAACACAUGCAAGUCGAGCGAGCGGCGGACGGGUGAGUAAUGUCUUGGAAACUGCCUGACGGAGGGGGAUAACUACUGGAAACGGUAGCUAAUACCGCAUACCAUCAGAUGUGCCCCGAUGGGAUGAGCUAGUAGGUGGGGUAAUGGCUCACCUAGGCGACGAGCCCUAGCUGGUCUGAGAGGAGGACCAGCCACACUGGAACUGAGACACGGUCCAGACUCCUACGGGAGGCAGCAGUGGGGAAUCUUGCACAAUGGGCGCAAGCCUGAUGGAGCCAUGCCGCGUGUGUGAAGAAGGCCUUCGGGUUGUAAAGCUCUUUCAGCGAGGAAGCGUUACUCGAAGAGGAAGCACCGGCUAACUACGUGCCAGCAGCCGCGGUAAUAC